GGGGAUGACAGGUUUCGACAGGGACGGCUGGCUACGGACUGCAAGCCGGGGCGCCUUGACCUCGUAAAAACAGGGCAAAACACAACUGCCAGACCAAUGGCAAUCGCCGCGUAACACGUGGCAUGUCCCUCUAAUCUCACUCUGACGGGUUAGAGAGGACAUCAUUUAGUUGGAGUGCGGCCUGCCAGACANNNNNNNNNNGGGUCAAAGACAGAUCGGCUGGCCGGGGCGAGGGCUCUGCCGUUUGAGAUCUGCCCAGGCGAGAUAUUCGAGACACGGCUAAGCUUGUAGACGUCUGUAGUCGAACUCUCUGGACCCGGGUUCGAUUCCCGGCAUCUCCACUA
rnacentral:tmRNA from 1 species